ensembl:rRNA 5S_rRNA 5S ribosomal RNA
GUCUUCGGCCAUACCACCCUGAACGUGCCCGAUCUGGUCUGAUCUCGGAAGCUAAGCAGGGUCGGGCCUGGUUAAUACUUGGAUGGGAGACCGCCGCGGAAUACCGGGUGCUGUGGGCU